rnacentral:rRNA from 1 species
UACGGAGGGGGCUAGCGUUGUUCGGAAUUACUGGGCGUAAAGCGCACGUAGGCGGCUUUGCAAGUCAGAGGUGAAAGCCCGGGGCUCAACCCCGGAAUUGCCUUUGAGACUGCAUCGCUAGAAUUGUGGAAAGGUAAGUGGAAUUCCGAGUGUAGAGGUGAAAUGCGUAGAUAUCUGGAGGAACACCGGUGGCGAAGGCGGCAUUCUGGACAAUAACUGACACUGAGAGACGAAAGCCAGGGGAGCAAACGGG